AGUAAGUGUUUCAGUCUGCUUCAGUAAGUGUUCCAGGAUGCUUCAGUAAGUGUUUCAGUCUGCUUCAGUAAGUGUUUCAGUCUGCUUCAGUAAAUGUUCCAGGAUGCUUCAGUAAGUGUUUCAGUCUGCUUCAGUAAGUGUUCCAGGAUGCUUCAGUAAGUGUUUCAGGAUGCUUCAGUAAGUGUUUCAGUCUGCUUCAGUAAGUGUUUCAGGAUGCUUCAGUAAGUGUUUCAGUCUGCUUCAGUAAGUGUUUCAGUAAGUGCUUCAGUCUGCUUCAGUAAGUGUUUCAGUAAGUGUUUCAGGAUGCUUCUGAUCAAGUUUGGAUAGAGAGUUAACGGAAACAUGCACAAGGAAUCCCUAUGUGUUACUAGUAACACAACUGUAUAUGAUAAAUGGUGAAUUAGGCAUCCCUCCAUCCAGUUUCUGAUGAUAUAAAACAUGGAAAUUGUUGUCUGAUUCUUACCCAAACUCUACAAAAAUGCUGUACAGUCUUGAAUUAACAUCAACACCUGGCAUCGUCUGAACUUUGGCCGAUGUAGCUGGGGUUCUUUUUAAUAAUAAUAAUAUAAUUAUUUAACAAAAAAUGAUUUCAGAAGGAGAAGAGAAUUUCAAUAUGUAAUUGUGUGUCGAAGUUGGAAGAUAUUUCAUUGUAACAUAAAGAACCAUAUCUAUUUUGACAUUUAAAGUGUAAGACUUAAUGUAAUGCUUUGAUUAACAGAAACCUUGCUUGUGAAAAUAAGAGCAAACAUGAGUGCAGAAAGCUGCUUAUAUUGCACGAGGUCAAAUCAGAGGAAAAGCUUAUCCUAAUGAAACUUGGUCAAAAUGUUUAUCUUGAUCAUUCCUAUGCCAAUUUUAAAACUGGGUCAUAUGGGGUCAAAAUCUUACUCAUUCGGUCAGAUCAAAGGAAAAGCUUGUUAACACUUGAGGCCACAUUUAUGGUCCCAUCUUGGUAAGAAUAUUUAUCUUGAGGAUUCCUAAGCCAAGUUUGAAACUGAGUCAUGUGGGGUAAAAAAUUUGGUCACCACUCAAAUCAAAGAAAAAGCUUGUUAACACAGUAGAGGCCACAUUUAUGACCCUAUCUUCAGAAAACUUGGUCAGAAUGUUUAUCUUGAUGGUUCCAAUGCCAAGUUUAACAGGUGAACGAUACAGUGUCAUCAUUACCCUCUUGUUAAAAUAAUUAUAUUUAAUAGGGGCUAAUAAGCCAUGUACUGUCAUAAUCUUCUAAGUACAAAGUAUAAAAGUAUUGUAUAGUGUUUUAUUUCACUCUGGAAUAACGCUUCGUUCUUUGGCCACUGUUUUCUUUUGUGUCCUUUGUUUGAAGUUAUGACAAUCUUUAAUUUAAAGAUUAAAAAAACAAGACUGUGUUGAAGCAACACCAAUGUCCUGCAUCACAGUCUAUUUUUAACCAAGUUUCUUCCCAAGGAAAUAUUGGUCCAAACAAAAUACUUGCAGAAAGCUCAUACCCUAAUGAACAUGUGUGCUAGUUUUCAAGUUCCUUUGACUUCAAGUUUUUAGAAAAUUAACUUCAACACAAACCUCAACCUAGCUUAAAGAACGCAAUCCUAAACCUGAAAGAAUUGAUGGAGGAACAGACAUGGACAGAAUAUCUAUGUGUCCCAAGAACUUUGUUUGUUUGAUGGCUCAGAUGACACAGGUCUAAAGUUAAUAUUAUUAGGUGUGAAGAAAUGAUUUAUUUCAAACCAAUAUUGUUGACAUGAUCAUGCAUUGAUGAUUCUCAAAACAUGCUGGGGUUUCUAUGUUCAUAUUACAGAAGUCGCAUGAGCUUGAUGUUGAUAUAUUACAUUUAUAUAAAUAUUCAUUUGUUGGGAUGAUCUGUAGAUAUCUAUUAGGUAUCUAUAUUGAAAUACUCUUAGCCAAGUGGCUAUUGUACAUUUAAAUUGAGCUAAUUCUACUUUGUACCUUUCAAGUUCUGAAAACUGCAUGUUCCAUGAUAAUUCUUAGAGAAGAACUCCAGUAAGCUGCAGAUAGGUGAUUUGUUUGUAUACAAUGACAUUCUUUCAGAUUGCAACUAGUGCAUAUCUGGUCUGUAUAUUGGCGAUGUCUGGAUGGGUGUACAUGGUGUUUCCUAAAAUUAUUUAUAAUUGUGUAGGAAUAAAGCAAAGGGUGCUUUGAUCAUUCUUAGAAGAUCCAAAUGAUCCAAGCAAACUACCAUCAAAUAGGAACGAAUUAAUAUCCCUUGAGAAACUUCUGAUGCUUUGACUGCUGUUCUAAUAAUUGCAUGGUGGAAGCAUUAUAUUCCACACAAUUUGUUCAGUUUAAGAUCUUGUCCUUUUUCUAAUAAUUUCGUUCUUAAUUUUGUUUACUUGCACUUUUCGAUAACCUGGUUCCUAAUUUGUUCAUUGGUAUUUUCGAAUUCACAGUGAAUUGCUUUUUGCCUCAAUCUAGACACAUAUUGUUCUACUGUUUCCAAAUUUCCUUGCGUAAGUGGCUUUAAAUUGAUAUCUUUCGUAUGGUGUGUGGACUUUUGUGAUAAAGUACUUGUUUAAUGUGUUCACUGCUUUUAAGUGUAUGUUAGCGCCUUCUUCUUCUUGUAACGUAAAGUAACUGUCUUGUACGUCCAUACCUGCGCAGUGCAACAAUACUGAAUGUUUUUUUAUCAAAUUUUGUAAGCCUGCGUCCCUCCACGAACAGUUCGAACGAUCUGAGCCAACGCUUCCUUGUUCUGACUGCUCACAAUAAACAUUAAAAGCCUCGAUGCCAGUCAAGUCCACAAAUUUUGCCAUCUUAAUUUUUCAAAAACAUCCCAUUUUCCUGGCCAAAUUGUAGUGUUAUAUAGACAACACGUUGUGCGUUAAAUACUUUUAAUACACAACCAUACUCAUAGAUGACAAAUAUACAACUAAUAAUCAGCAUCAAGCAUGCAUACCUAUUUAUACAUAAGAUUCCCGCCAGUACAUAACCACAUGAUGUACCAUAUAACUACAAUCACCAUGUCCAGUUAUAGGCAAGAGUACAUUACUCCAUCAAGGAAUUUGGCUGAAUUAUGGCCCCUUUCAACUUACAAAUCUAACGUACCAUUUCAUAUUUUGUGUACACUGUUUGAUAUAUGGCUUUGAAACUUUUAUCGCUUGUUUAUUAUAACGUCUCAGCUGCAAUGUAAUAAAAAGUUGAUUUGAAUUUUUACCUCGACUAUUCAAAGAACAGGCAGAGCUAUUGGACUCACCCAUGCGCCGGCGUCCAAUUGGCGUCCGCGUCCUCAUUUGGUUAAGUUUUUGUAUGUAAGCUGGUAUCACAGUAACCACUUGUGAGAAUGGAUUGAAACUUCACACACUUAUUCACUGUGAUAAACUGACUUACAAUGCACAGGUUCCAUAACUCUAUUUUGCUAUUUUACAAAAUUAUGCCGCUAUUUCGAUUAAGAAAUUUUUGGUUAAGGUUUUAUUAUGUAAGCUGGUGUCUCAGUACCCACUUAUGGGAAUGGACACUUGUUCACUGUUAUGAUCUGACAUGCAAUGCGCAGGUUCCAUAACUCUACUUUGCAUUUUUAGCUCACCUGUCACAAAGUGACAAGGUGAGCUUUUGUGAUCGCGUGGUGUCUGUCAUCCGUCGUCCGUCCGUGCGUGCGUCCGUAAACUUUUGCUUGUGACCACUCUAGAGGUCACAUUUUUCAAGGGAUCUUUAUGAAAGUUGGUCAGAAUGUUCAUCUUGAUGAUAUCUAGGUCAAGUUUGAAACUGGGUCACGUGCCGUCAAAAACUAGGUCAGUAGGUCUAAAAAUAGAAAAACCUUGUGACCUCUCUAGAGGCCAUAUAUUUCACAAGAUCUUCAUGAAAAUUGGUCAGAGUGUUCAACUUGAUGAUAUCUAGGUCAAGUUCGAAACUGGGUCACGUGCUGUCAAAAACUAGGUCAGUUGGUCUAAAAAUAGAAAAACCUUGUGACCUCUCUGUAGGCCAUAUAUUUCACAAGAUCUUCAUGAAAAUUGGUCAGAACGUUCACCUUGAUAAUAUCUAGGUCAAGUUCGAAACUGGGUUACGUGCCGUCAAAAACUAGGUCAGUAGGUCAAAUAAUAGAAAAACCUCGUGACCUCUCUAAAGGCCAUAUUUUUCAUAGGAUCUGUAUGAAAGUUGGUCUGAAUGUUCAUCUUGAUGAUAUCUAGGUCAUUUUCAAAACUGGGUCACGUGCGGUCAAAAACUAGGUCAGUAGGUCUAAAGAUAGAAAAACCUUGUGACCUCGCUAGAGGCCAUAUAUUUCAUGGGAUCUAUAUGAAAGUUGGUCUGAAUGUUCAUCUUGAUGAUAUCUAGAUCAGGUUUGAAAGUGGGUCACAUGCCUUCAAAAACUAGGUCAGUAGGUCAAAUAAUAGAAAAACCUUGUGACCUCUCUAAAGGCCAUAUUUUUCAUGGGAUCUGUAUGAAAAUUGGUCUGAAUGUUCAUCUUGAUGAUAUCCAGGUCAGGUUCGAAACAGGGUCAUGUGCGGUCAAAAACUAGGUCAGUAGGUCUAAAAAUAGAAAAACCUUGUGACCUCUCUGGAGGCCAUAUUUUUCAAUGGAUCUUCAUAAAAAUUGGUCUGAAUGUUCACCUUGAUGAUAUCUAGGUCAAGUUUGAAACUGGGUCACUUGCCUUAAAAAACUAGGUCAGUAGGUCAAAUAAUAAAAAAACUUUGUGACCUGUCUAGAGGCCAUACUUUUCAUGGGAUCUGUAUAUGAAAGUUGGUCUGAAUGUUCAUCUUGAUGAUAUCUAGGUCAAGUUUGAAAUUGGGUCAACUGCGGUCAAAAACUAGGUCAGUAGAUAUAAAAUUAUUAAAAUCUUUUGACCUCUCUAGAGGCCAUAUUUUUCAAUGGAUCUUUAUGAAAAUUGAUCUGAAUGUUCAACUUGAUGAUAUCUAGGUCAAGUUUCGAAACUGGGUCACGUGUGGUCAAAAACUAGGCCAGUAGGUAUAAAAAUAGAAAAACCUUGUGACCUCUCUAGAGGCCAUAUUUUUCAAUGGAUCUUCAUGAAAAUUAGUGAGAGUGUUCACCUUGAUGAUAUCUAGGUAAAGUUCAAAACAGGGUCACGUACCUUCGAAAACUAGGUCAAUAGGUCAAAUAAUAGAAAAACCUUGUGACCUCUCUAGAGACAAUAUUUUUCGAUGGAUCUUCAUGAAAAUUGGUCAGAAUUUUUAUCUUGGUAAUAUCUAGGUCAAGUUCAAAACUGGGUCACAUGAGCUCAAAAACUAGGUCACUAUGUCAAAUAAUAGAAAAAACGACGUCAUACCCGAAACUGGGUCAUGUGGGAAGAGGUGAGCGAUUCAGGACCAUUAUGGUCCUCUUGUUACAAAAUUUUGGCCCUUUUUCAACUUGGCUGUUUUUGGUUAAGUUUUUGUAUGUAAGUAGGUAUCUCAGUACCCUCUAAUGGGAAUGGAUUGAAACUUUACACACUUGUUCACUGUCAUAAUCUGACAUAUAGUGCACAGGUUCCAUAACUCUACUUUGCAUUUUUUCAAAAUUAUGCCCCUUUUUUGACUUUAAUAUUCAUUCAAUUGACAAGACUGUUGAAUAGUCAAGCAUAAUGCUGUCCUCAGACAGCUGUGGUUUAUAUUUCAUUCAGUUGAUUAAUACUACUAGCUUCAUUUUGAAUUAACAUAUUGCCUCAACCCAUGUGGAAACAUGUUAAUAAACCGAUGCCAAAAUGUAUGGCAUAUCAGUAGAGGCAGAACUGGUAAGAACGAUAAGUUGGGAAUAAAUAUCAAGCAAACAAACUCUUUUUUGCUGAAUUGAAAACAAUUUUACUGCUUCUUGGAAAGGUGAUGGGAAGUCUAAAACUUGAUUGCCAUACUUGUCUGCUUCAUGAUUUGGCAUCACGUGCAAUUGCACUAUGCGUAAAAUUGCAGAUUUGUAUUAUUCAGUAGAUAUUUAAUGAAUAUCUCGUGACAUCGAAGACAAUAAUUAUUGCAGGAAUUGGAUUAGCAUAUCUUGGUUACCUGAUAAAGUUGCAGUUGAUUCCAAUUUAAUAAUUUAUAAAUCAGUUCUGUCAUCCAUGUUGAAAUUUCAUAUAGAAUGCAAUUUUUAGCUCGACUAUUCGAAGAAUAGGGGAAAUAGGGGAGCUAUCCUACUCGCCCCGGCGUCGGCGUGAGCGUCACACAAAUGUUAAAGUUUGCGUACCAUUCCAAAUAUUUUCAACGUCCAUUGAGAUAUUGCUUUGAUAUUUUGCAUACUUGUUUACCAUCAUGACUCCAGUCUGUAAAAAGGAGGAGGCAACGCUAUCAAGCAUUUUGACUGAAUUAUGGCCCCUUUUCAACUUAGAAUAAAUGUUAAAGUUUGCGUACCACCCCAAAUAUUUUCAAAGUCCAUUGAGAUAUUGCUUUGAUAUUUUGCAUACUUGUUUACUAUCAUGACCCCAGUCUGUAAGAAGGAGGAGGCAACUCUAUCAAGCAUUUUGACUGAAUUAUGGCCCCUUUUUCGACUUAGAAUAAAUGUUAAAGUUUGCGUACCACCUCAAAUAUUUUCAAAGUCCAUUUAGAUAUUGCUUUCAUAUUUUGCAUACUUGUUUACCAUCAUGAUCCCAGUCUGUAAACAGGAGCAGACAAUUCUAUCAAGCAUUUUGACUGAAUUAUGGCCCCUUUUUGACUUAAAAUAUACUUAUUGUAAUGUUAAAGUUUUACUCAUAGCUUAUAUUAUAUUAUCAAGCACUGAGAAUAGUCAAGCGCGCUGUCAACUGACAGCUCUUGUUUAUUAGCUCGACAAUUUGAAGAAUAGAGGAGCUACGCUACUCGCCCCGGCGUCGGCGUGAGCGUUACCGUGAGCGUGAGAAAUCAUAUAUCUGCAAUGUCAAAAGCAUUCUCUGUAACAUAGCUGAGCUGCAAAUAAAGAUUUUUUAAAAAUUGCAGACAAGGGUAAAUAGUUCAAGUAGUAGUAGUAAAUGUAUCAAGUUGCAGAAUUGGUUCGACAGAUGGGAUUCCAUUUUCGUACAGGCAUCUUGCUCCUUUGCAGGUCUUCCCAUCACCAUCGCUGGUCAGAUAUUUGAUAUCAAUUUUUUUCAGUUUUAAGGUCCUCAAAGCAGUAGUCAGCCCAUUUGGCCUCAUCCACAAUAUUAGUCUCCAUACAUACAGUGGCCAAACAGCUGUCAGACUUUAUAUUACAUUCUUCUUAACCCUGUGUAUGAAACCCGUGCUUUGAGCAUAACUUACUUACUGUCUCAACAGCAACAAUCUGCUUUUUGCGGGUUAAGUUCUCGCAAACAGUUAAAGUACAUUGUGUCGCUGGCUGGAAUGGUGUCCGUCCAAUAUCGGAAUAGAGGGAAUUGUUAUAAACUCUAUCCACCUGAGCCGCAAUAUGUGUCUCUGGGUGCCCUUUCCAUUUGUUAAUUUUCUUAAGUUGUUGCAAGCGUACAGACAUGUCCCUUCUGUUUUCAGUUACGAUUUUAUUUCUGAGCUUUUUAUUCAUAUUUAUAAUUCCUCUGGCUGAUAUAGUGGCUUAUUAUUUCACCAGCAAGAAUUUUAGUGAGGCCCAAGGCUGCUAUUGUAGUCUGAGUGAGUGCAAUAUUGAUGCUUACAUAAUCUGCAGCAGCCUUACGACCACAGGUUUACCCAGUCUCAACGUUAAACAUCUCAGAUUUAUAUUGACAACUAUCACAUGUUACAGCUUCUCUCCAAACAAUGCCCUGUUGCUCCUCUCUGGCUGGGUCGAAAGCCAAGUCCCCACGACAGCUUGGGUAACUCUCAUGAUGCUGCCGGGUCACACUGUUUAUCAUUUCCCACAGUUUUCCAAACAUGAAAUAGCUUGUUGCAGUCAGUGGUAGUGCUGAAGUACAUGAUACACACUCCUACAAAAUAUAAUUGAUUUCUAGGGAUGGUCAGAUUGUCUAGUCAUGCCUUCCGGCGUUCAUACAUUUUCCUACUUCUUUAAAUGCCUCCUACUUUUUCCUACUUUUUGAUGAAAACCUCCUACUUCUACUUUUUUGCUUGACAUUAUUUUUGGUGCCUCAUGCAAUACAUUGCCUGACAUGUCAAGGUGCCUAUAAUCCUACCAAACCAUAUGGGCACACUGAUUCAAGCACAGAAACUGCCAGUCAAGACAUCUGGGGUCAGUUGUAAUUCAUGAGACCAAAUUUGGUUCUGUCUGCACAUCUGCUUGUAAUCUUUGUAGUUCCUGAUUCAGUUUUUUCCAACAAACUCAUCUCAGCAGGUUUAUGUUUAUCUUUUAUACCAAGAAAGGCAGUAGUCCUAAACGAUCGCCAUACCUUGGUAAAAAACAUCUGAGUUCUUCGUCUGACAUAUGUUUAACACAAUUAGUUGAAUCAAUUGAAAAUCAAAUCAAAUCCAUAUUUAUGUCUCCCCCCACUAGGGGAGACAUAUUGUUUUUGCCCUGCCCGUCCGUCCGUCCUUCCGUACGUCAAACUUUAUUUCCAAUCAAUAACUGGAGAACCAUUUGACCUAGAACCUUCAAACUUCAUAGGAUGGCAGGGCUAAUGGCGUAGACAGCCCCUAUUGUUUUUGGGUUCACUCCAUCAAAGGUCAAGGUCACAGGGGCCUGAACAUAGAAAAACAUUUCCGAACAAUAACUUGAGAACCACUUGACCCAGAAUGUUGAUACUUCAUAGGAUGAUUGGUCACGCAGAGUAGAUGACCCCUAUUGUUUUUGGGGUCACUCUAUUGAAGGUCAAGGUCACAGGGACCAGAAUAUUGAAAACCAUUUCUGAUAAAUAACUUGAGAACCACUUGACCCAGAAUGUUUAAACUUCAUAGGAUGAUUGGACAUGCAGAGAAGAUGACCCAUAUUGAUUUUGAGGUCACUCUGUUAAAGGUCAAGGUCACAGCGCACAGAACAUGGAAAUCCAUUUCUGGUCAAUUGCUUGAGAACUAUUUGACCUAGAACCAUCAAACUUCAUAGGGUGAUAGGAUUUACAGAGCAGAUGACCCCUAAUGUUUUUUGGGUCACUCCAUCAAAGGUCAAGGUCACAGGGGGCUGAACAUAGAAAACUUUUUCCAAUCAAGAAGUUGAGAACCACUUGACCCAGAAUGUUGAAACUUAAGAGGAUGAUUGGGCAUGCAGGAUAGAUGACCCCUAUUGAUUUUGGGGUCACUCUGUUAAAGGUCAAGGUCACAGGGACCUGAACAUGGAAAGCCAUUUCGGUCAAUAACUUGAGAACCACUUGACCUAGAAUGUUGAAACUUCAUAGGAUGAUUGGACAUGCAAAGUAGAUGACCCCUAUUAAUUUUUGGGUCACUCUAUUAAAGGUCAAGGUCACAGCAGACAGAACAUGGAAAUCCAUUUCCGGUCAAUAACUUAAGAAACCAUUUGACCUAGAACCUUCAAACUUCAUAGCGUGUUAGGACUUACAGAGUAGAUGAUCCAUAAUGUUUUAUGGGUCACUCUGUUAAAGGUCAAGGUCACAGGGGCCUGAACAUGGAAAUCCAUUUCCAGUCAAUAACUUCAAACUUAAUAGCGUGAUAGGACUUACAGAGUAGAUGACCCCUAACGUUUUUUGGGUCACUCUGUUAAAAGUCAAGGUCACAGGGGCCUGAACAUGGAAAACCAUUUCCAGUCAAUAACUUGAGAACCACUUGACAUAGGAUGACUGGACAUGCAGUGUAGAUGACCCCUAUUGAUUUUGGGGUCACUCUGUUAAAGGUCUAGAACGUUCAAACUUCAUAGCGUGAUAGGACUUACAGAGUAAGAGUAAGUUUGACCCCUGUUGUUUUUGGGGUCACUCCAUUGAAGGUCAAGGCCACAGAGGGCUGAACGUAGAAAACUUUCCAAUCAAUAACUUGAGAACCACUUGAUGAUUGGACAUGCAGAGUACAUGACCACUACUGAUUUUGGGGUCACUCGAUCAAAGGUCAAGGUCACAGGGGCCUGUACAUGGAAAACCAUUUCCAGUUCAUAACUUGAGAACCACUAGGCCCAAAAUGUUGAAACUUAGUUGGGUGAUUGGACAUGCCAAGUAGAUGAUCCCUAUUGCAGCCGUCCAUCAGUGUCUCUUUUACUUUCGCUCCUGUCCCCUAUUGAUUUCUUGCCUAUAUGACUAUGCACUGGGGGAGACAUACGCUUUCACUAUCCAUAACAAUGGCGGGGGAUAUAGCUGUCUUUCGGACUGCCUUGUUUUUUGUUUAAUACAGUAUAACUUCAGAUAUAGCUACCACGAUAGUGUCUGAAUGUCAGAUGAACUGUUUCUUCUUCUUGCAAUAGAAAUCUCUUUCAGCAUGUCUGAAUUAAAAUGAAUUAAGAAUCAAUACAGAAUAAUACUUUUUUGUACAUUAAAAGACACAUAAAAUAUGUACAAUUUUAGUAAAGAAAAUAUCAAAGAAUCACAGCAUAAUUAUUAUGUGUAUAAUUAUAAGCAUUGUUCUUUUUGCAUUUCAAGGAACUAACUUAAAUAAACAGCAAAACAUAAAGGUGGUUUUUACCAGUGUUUAGUCAUGAUAUCCACUUACAAUUCAUUAUAAGCUGAUUGGCUGUGGUGCGGCUUUUACUCUCCAUUUACUGCAGCUCGGCAUCAAUUGUCUUGUAGUUGUCCUCUGUGGCCUGACCAAAAAUAUUACUAACGCAUCAAUUCUUAAAAGUUAUUAGUGCUAUUGUGUAAGUAAAUAUUUGUUGUAUAAGUUAUAUAAGUAUUAAAAGUAGUCAAAACUACAAAAACUUUUUUAAACAAGUCACUUCAUUUUUCACCAAUGUUUUGGCUACAUUAGCCUCCUUCAGGGUUCAAUUUAAUCAACAUAACAAAGUUAUAAAAUCUACAGGGUUUCUGAUCCAUAGCGUCAUUCAUAACAAGGCUUUCCUGUGUCAAACUCUGCAUCUUCAAAGAUUUUGGUAAUAUCUGUUCUUAGAUAUAGGUAGCUGAUUUACACUUGCUGAGAAUAGAUUAUUUUACUCUAUAAAAUCUUACAAUAUGAUCCAUAGUGUCAUUCGUAUCAAUUUUUUCCUGUGUCUGAGGCUCUGUAGCUUCAGAGAUUUUGAUAAAAUCUGUUCUUAAAGAAAUGCAUAAACAGCAUCACACUACUAUUGUAGUAUCUAGUUUUACAGUAAGAGUUCAUUCAGUUAUUAGUCUUCUUCUCUUCUGAUUGCGUCACUCACUUACCUGGUAAACAUACGUCAUUCUAAGUGCUCUAGGUAACAGUGAAUGGCAUCGCAUUAACAAAUUCUUUUUUCUCCGACGGUUGACACGAUUCGCAUCGAAAUAUAACCUUGUCUUCCCCUUUUUAGCUCACCUGUCACAAAGUGACAAGGUGAGCUUUUGUGAUCGCGCGGUGUCCGUCGUCCGUCGUCCGUCCGUGCGUCCGUCCGUGCGUCCGUCCGUCCGUCCGUAAACUUUUGCUUGUGACCACUCUAGAGGUCACAUUUUUCAUGGCAUCUUUAUGAAAAUUGGUCAGAAUGUUCAUCUUGAUGAUAUCUAGGUCAAGUUCGAAACUGGGUCACGUGCGGUCAAAAACUAGGUCAGUAGGUCUAAAAAUAGAAAAACCUUGUGACCACUCUAGAGGUCACAUUUUUCAUGGGAUCUUCAUGAAAGUUAAUCAGAAUGUUCAUCUUGAUGAUAUCUAGGUCAAGUUCGAAACUGGGUCACGUGCGGUCAAAAACUAGGUCAGUAGGUCUAAAAAUAGAAAAACCUUGUGACCACUCUAGAGGUCACAUUUUUCAUGGGAUCUUCAUGAAAGUUAAUCAGAAUGUUCAUCUUGAUGAUAUCUAGGUCAAGUUCGAAACUGGGUCACGUGCGGUCAAAAACUAGGUCAGUAGGUCUAAAAAUAGAAAAACCUUGUGACCACUCUAGAGGUCACAUUUUUCAUGGGAUCUUUAUGAAAGUUGGUCAGAAUGUUCAUCUUGAUGAUAUCUAGGUCAAGUUUGAAACUGGGUCACGUGCCUUCAAAAACUAGGUCAAUAGGUCUAAAAAUAGAAAAACCUUGUGACCUCUCUAGAGGCCAUAUAUUUCACAAGAUCUUCAUGAAAAUUAGUCAGAACGUUCACCUUGAUGAUAUCUAGGUCAAGUUCGAAACUCGGUCACAUGCCUUCAAAAACUAGGUCAGUAGGUCUUAAAAUAGAAAAACCUUGUGACCUCUCUAGAGGCCAUAUAUUUCACAAGAUCUUCAUGAAAAUUGGUCAGAACGUUCACCUUGAUGAUAUCUAGGUCAAGUUCGAAACUCGGUCACGUGCCAUCAAAAACUAGGUCAGUAGGUCAAAUAAUAGAAAAACCUUGUGACCUCUCUUAAGGCCAUAUUUUUCAUGGGAUCUGUAUGAAAGUUGGCCUGAAUGUUCAUCUUGAUGAUAUCUAGGUCAAGUUCGAAACUCGGUCACGUGCCAUCAAAAACUAGGUCAGUAGGUCAAAUAAUGGAAAAACCUUGUGACCACUCUAGAGGUCACAUUUUUCAUGGGAUCUUCAUGAAAGUUAAUCAGAAUGUUCAUCUUGAUGAUAUCUAGGUCAAGUUCGAAACUGGGUCACGUGCGGUCAAAAACUAGGUCAGUAGGUCUAAAAAUAGAAAAACCUUGUGACCACUCUAGAGGUCACAUUUUUCAUGGGAUCUUUAUGAAAGUUGGUCUGAAUGUUCAUCUUGAUGAUAUCUAGGUCAAGUUUGAAACUGGGUCACGUGCCUUCAAAAUCUAGGUUAGUAGGUCUAAAAAUAGAAAAACCUUGUGACCUCUAGAGGCCAUAUAUUUCACAAGAUCUUCAUCAAAAUUGAUCAGAACGUUCACCUUGAUGAUAUCUAGGUCAAGUUCGAAACUCGGUCACGUGCCAUCAAAAACUAGGUCAGUAGGUCAAAUAAUAGAAAAACCUUGUGACCUCUCUAAAGGCCAUAUUUUUCAUGGGAUCUGUAUGAAAGUUGGUCUGAAUGUUCAUCUUGAUGAUAUCUAGGUCAAGUUCAAAACUGGGUCGCGUGCUGUCAAAAACUAGGUCAGUAGGUCUAAAAAUAGAAAAACCUUGUGACCUCUCUAGAGGCCAUAUAUUUCAUGACAUCUUCAUGAAAAUUGGUCAGAACGUUCACCUUCAUGAUAUCUAGGUCAAGUUCGAAAGUGGGUCACGUGCCAUCAAAAACUAAGUCAGUAGGUCAAAUAAUAGAAAAACCUUGUGAGCUCUCUAGAGGCCAUAUUUUUCAUGGGAUCUGUAUGAAAGUUAAUCUGAAUGUUCAUCUUGAUGAUAUCUAGGUCAAGUUCGAAAGUGGGUCACGUGCCAUCAAAAACUAGGUCAGUAGGUCAAAUAAUAGAAAAACCUUGUGACCUCUCUAAAGGCCAUAUUUUUCAUUGGAUCUGUAUGAAAAUUGGUCUGAAUGUUCAUCUUGAUGAUAUCUAGGUCAAGUUCGAAACAGGGUCAUGUGCGGUCAAAAACUAGGUCAGUAGGUCAAAAAAUAGAAAAACCUUGUGACCUCUCUAGAGGCCAUACUUGUGAAUAGAUCUCCAUAAAAAUUGGUCAGAAUGUUCACCUUGAUGAUAUCUAGGUCAAGUUUGAAACUGGGUCACGUGCCAUAAAAAACUCGAAACUGGGUCAUGUGCGGUCAAAAACUAGGCCAGUAGGUAUAAAAAUAGAAAAACCUUGUGACCUCUCUAGAGGCCAUAUUUUUCAUGAGAUCUUCAUGAUAUUGCCAUAUUUUUCAUGGGAUCUGUAUGAAAGUUGGUCUGAAUGUUCAUCUUGGUGAUAUCUAGGUCAAGUUCGAAAGUGGGUCACAUGCCAUCAAAAACUAGGUCAGUAGGUCAAAUAAUAGAAAAACCUUGUGACCUCUCUAAAGGCCAUAUUUUUCAUGGGAUCUGUAUGAAAAUUGGUCUGAAUGUUCAUCUUGAUGAUAUCUAGGUCAAGUUCGAAACAGGGUCAUGUGCGGUCAAAAACUAGGUCAGUAGGUCUAAAAAUAGAAAAACCUUGUGACCUCUCUAGAGGCCAUCCUUGUGAAUGGAUCUCCAUAAAAAUUAGUCAGAAUGUACACCUUGAUGAUAUCUAGGUCAGGUUUGAAACUGGGUCAAGUGCCAUAAAAAACUAGGUCAGUAGGUCAGAUAAUAAAAAAACCUUGUGACUUCUCUAGAGGCCAUACUUUUCAUGGGAUCUGUAUGAAAGUUAAUCUGAAUGUUCAUCUUGAUGAUAUCUAGGUCAAGUUCGAAAGUGGGUCACGUGCCAUCAAAAACUAGGUCAGUAGGUCAAAUAAUAGAAAAACCUUGUGACCUCUCUAAAGGCCAUAUUUUUCAUUGGAUCUGUAUGAAAAUUGGUCUGAAUGUUCAUCUGGAUGAUAUCUAGGUCAAGUUCGAAACAGGGUCAUGUGCGGUCAAAAACUAGGUCAGUAGGUCUAAAAAUAGAAAAACCUUGUGACCUCUCUAGAGGCCAUACUUGUGAAUAGAUCUCCAUAAAAAUUGGUCAGAAUGUUCACCUUGAUGAUAUCUAGGUCAAGUUUGAAACUGGGUCACGUGCCAUAAAAAACUCGAAACUGGGUCAUGUGCGGUCAAAAACUAGGCCAGUAGGUAUAAAAAUAGAAAAACCUUGUGACCUCUCUAGAGGCCAUAUUUUUCAUGAGAUCUUCAUGAUAUUGCCAUAUUUUUCAUGGGAUCUGUAUGAAAGUUGGUCUGAAUGUUCAUUUUUGGUGAUAUCUAGGUCAAGUUCGAAAGUGGGUCACAUGCCAUCAAAAACUAGGUCAGUAGGUCAAAUAAUAGAAAAACCUUGUGACCUCUCUAGAGGCCAUAUUUUUCAUGGGAUCUGUAUGAAAAUUGGUCUGAAUGUUCAUCUUGAUGAUAUCUAGGUCAAGUUCGAAACAGGGUCAUGUGCGGUCAAAAACUAGGUCAGUAGGUCUAAAAAUAGAAAAACCUUGUGACCUCUCUAGAGGCCAUCCUUGUGAAUGGAUCUCCAUAAAAAUUAGUCAGAAUGUACACCUUGAUGAUAUCUAGGUCAGGUUUGAAACUGGGUCAAGUGCCAUAAAAAACUAGGUCAGUAGGUCAGAUAAUAAAAAAACCUUGUGACUUCUCUAGAGGCCAUACUUUUCAUGGGAUCUGUAUGAAAGUUGGUCUGAAUGUUCAUCUUGAUGAUAUCUAGGUCAAGUUUGAAACUGGGUCAACUGCGGUCAAAAACUAGGUCAGUAGGUCUAAAAUUAUUAAAAUCUUUUGACCUCUCUAGAGGCCAUAUUUUUCAAUGGAUCUUCAUGAAAAUUGACCUGAAUGUUCACCUUGAUAAUAUCUAGGUCAGUUUCAAAACUGGGUCACAUGCGGUCAAAAACUAGGCCAGUAGGUAUAAAAAUAGAAAAACCUUGUGACCUCUCUAGAGGCCAUAUUUUUCAUGAGAUCUUCAUGAAAAUUAGUGAGAAUGUUCACCUUGAUGAUAUCUAGGUAAAGUUCAAAACAGGGUCACAUACCUUCGUAAAAUUGGGCAAUAGGUCAAAUAAUAGAAAAACCUUGUGACCUCUCUAGAGACCAUAUUUUUCAAUGGAUCUUCAUGAAAAUUGGUCAGAAUUUUUAUCUUGAUAAUAUCUAGGUCAAGUUCAAAACUGGGUCAUGUGGGAAGAGGUGAGCGAUUCAGGACCAUCAUGGUCCUCUUGUUAGCUUUACAUGGCCCUUGGAGUUUUGUUUGUUAGGCAAUACAUGAAACAAAAUUUAAAUUAUUCAGAGUUAUUUAAGAGAGUGGCAUUAUUACAAUAAUGUCACCACAUUUACAUUUGUUGUUUCACCAGUUCCGUAUUAAAGCAAGCAUGACACAGUUCCAGUUGAUCCAAAUGUUUUUGUUUUGCUUGGCUUGGCUUCUGCAGACUAAUAUCUUUACUUUGUUUUUGUUGCUUCAGAAAUUCUCAAAAAUGAAUAAUAUAUGUAUAAGAAAAAUAUAUAAUAUAUUACAAUAUAUUAUAAAGUCAGGACUUGCUCCAACUUAUUGAGCUGUUUUCACCCCAGGCCUCAGCUGGCUCGGAUUGAUCAAUACCUAUUUCCCCCAGUCCAGUGACUUCCCGAAGUUUGAGAACUUCCCCCAGCUUAUUGAACGCUUUCUGAGUAAGCACCUUCCUAGGAUGGAGUCCCACUACCUAAAUUACAGUCUAGGGAGAUUUUGUUGAUCCUGCUCAGACAGCUGGAACAAGUGUCUGAGUUUCUCAACUUUGUGUCGCUCCAGUAUCAACACCGUUGUCACUUCAGCAUCAACACCAUUGACAAAAGGAACCGCCAGUGCACCAAAGCAGCAACACCAUUACCAGUAAGCUUUAGCAUCAAGUCUUUAGGCACUGGCACCCCCAAUGCCAAACACAAAUCCUCCAUAGCCUGCAGGCAUCUGGCUGCUCAACAGAGGCCUGUGGGCUCAUGAUGGUCUGUGGGCUCAGUGAUUCAAGGUAAACUAACAAAUCACUGGGCAUCUGGGAUGCUUCCAAAAGCCAACUGGAGCACAGCCUCAAGGCGUUUAAUCUCCUUUGAGAGAUAUCUUCUCCUGAAAGAUCAAGAUUAAACACACGGGGCAUGUGACAGAGAAGCGCAUGUUUGCAAAUUACAUCUGCCCAACACCCUCCAGCCGGGCACCUAUAACUGUAUUCCGGUUCCUCUAUUGACAGCCUGGGCUUUUUAACCAAGCUGUCCCUAGUCGGUGAACACCGAGCAGCCAAACCUUUACCUUGGGAUCCUCUCCCUGGCCUAAGUGGCUGCUUACCUUUAUUCAACACAGUAGGUUAGUACUGUCUGAGCCAGGCCUUGCCUAACAGAGGGUCUUGAUACCCUAACUGCCAGACUAAGUGUCCUAGAUUCAUCUGCAACAGGCCCUUGGGGAACCUUCCCUGUUCCAGUAGCACUGCUUGGGGCCUUACUUACCUGCCCCACUUUGGCCUCACCCCCCCAGCAAGCAACUGUUGCUCUGCUAAAGGAUGUUCACCAUGUGGUUCUGGGACGAUCUGUGUAUGAAAAGAAUUGGAACCACUGCCUUACCCUUGCAUAAUCAUAAGAGGCAUCUAAUAGGGUCUUAACACUUGGUUUUGCUGUAACUCUGAUUCCAGCAGGUAUGCAAAUUUUGAUUCCAUACCUCAUGUUUUUAUUUCGAUGUAAAUGAGAUGUGGAACCAAAAUUUGUAGUCUUGUUUGGCGCCAUAUAACCUAUACUGUGUUGGUGCGCCGUAAAACCCAAAUAAAUAAAUAAAUCACCAGUCUGUCCCUAGAUGGAUGUCUCAGAUCUGGCUGCAUGGGGCAUCCCGCCAAGUGGAUUUGUGAAUGGGCCCUAAACUGCUCACAUUCUGAGAAAUCCACUCUCUAAUGAGACUGAAGAAUAUCAAGCUCCCUGGCCAGAUCCUUUAUCCACCGAUACAUAUGCCUGUGUUUGGCCAUAUGGACCAGGUCCAACAGGAUUUAAAAUCUGUUUGGUCGCCUACUCAAGAUGAUCAUUUUGGCAAGUUCCUUAGGGUUCCCUAAAUUGCCCUGCUAGGUUGCUUCGCCACCUUCCCAAGACCAUCUUCAUAAUUUUCAGUCAUAUCGGAAAACACAUCCAAAAAUAUUUGUCACUCUCUUAUGACUUCCUGGACCAGCAAUAAACUCUGUCGCUGCCCUUGGCAGCUGAAAUGUGGCCUGGAUUUUGCUCCCAGUGCUUAAUCCACAGGGGCACUUUAAAUGCAAGUUAAAAGUAAAAUGUAUGAAAUAAUAUUUUUAAGUAAUUUUAAUGAUAAACAAAAAUUUAAUUCAAUAAAUAUAUAAACAUCCCAGUUUUACUUGCUAAUUUUUUUGUCCUUGUAAAGUGUAGAAUUAUUUGGUACAAAGAUGGUCUUACUUUAUCUAACUGGUAACUAUUUCCAAGGUAUAUUAAUAUCCAAUUAAAAAUGCUAAUUCAAAUUAUGUAAAGUGGUAAGAUUUAAAAUAUAUAAAGAUGGUGGUUAUAAAACAGUAAGAUUUGAUAAAUUGAUAAAUAAUUCGAAAGAAAUAAAAAAAGCGAAAUUUCAGGGGGAAAAAUGAAGCAAAAAGUAGAGUGUUAAAACACUAGAACUUUUACUGUUACUGCAUGAUUUUAUAGUGGUAAAUGUUCAAGUUCAAACACUUUUAGUAUAAUAAUUGUGGUAAGGAUUCAAAUUGGUGUGAUUCACAGUUACUGUAGUAAAGAUUCUUCCAAAACCAUUAUGGUAUGAUUGCCUGUAGUAAGAAUUCAUGAUAAGUUAAUUAACAUGAGUUAAUGGUAGGAGUCAGUAAUAAGUAUACAAAUUCAAAAUCUUUUGGUACGAUUCAAUGUGGUAAAGAUUCAAAUUGACAAAAAUAUGGUAUGAGUUACUAUGGUAAAGAUACAAAUUCAAAAUCUUUUGGUAUCAUUCAUGUGGGGAAAGAUUCAAAUUAGCAAAAAAUGUGGUAUGAUUUACUGUGGUAAGGAUACAAAUUCAUAUUCUUUUGGUAUGAUUCAUGUGGUAAAGAUUCAAAGUAGUAAAAAAAAUGUGGUAUGAUUUACUGUGGUAAGGAUACUAAUUCAUAUUUUGGUAUUGUUCGCUGUGUUAAGGAUUCUUAUCAGGAUAUAGACUCAAUAUUUUCAGUUCAGGACCACAGUGGCCAGUGGUUAAAAAUAUAGAAUUUAUGUAAGUUUUCAAACCAAUUAUCGUAUGUGUUAAUGUGGUAAGAUUUCAUGACCAGCAUCAUUCAGUAUAAUUUACUGUGGUAAGAAUUUAAAUUCAGAACUAUUUUGGUAAGAUUUCUUUGGCAAGGAUUCAAAGUCAUUAUUCUUGUUAUUAUACACUAUGGUGAGGAUUCAAAAACUUUAGAUCUGUAACCCUUACCCUGCUAAAUUUCUAUAAUGAGCUUGUCCAUCUUCUAAUUUGGUCUGUACCAUUUACUGUUAAAAGUGGUGCUUAUGAAAAAAGAUACUGACUGGAUGGCAAACAGUGCAGACCAUGAUCUUGGUCUGCACUGGUUGCAAAGGCAGAAUCACUUGCCGCCAGCAGGCUAAUGGUUAAAGCAUUGUGGGAAGAAUUUGAAUUCACACUUGUUAUUGCAUGUCGCAGGCUUAGCGCAAAACGGUUGUAACUCCUUCUUCAUUUCAUAUAAGUUACAACCGUUUUGCGCUAAGCCCGCGAUGUGCACUGUAGUAAUUUAGGAACAUUUUGCAACUCCGAACUAUUUCUUGUGAACUUUCUGCGGGUCUGUAAUGACACAAUUAAUUCACAGUAUGGAAAGAAAUUCAUAAAUUUCUCCAAUAUUUCACCGAUUUCAGAAAAUUUUCGAUAAUAAUUCAAAUGUUUAAGGUUAGUAAUGACUUUUGUUUAGCAAUAAGUUGCUAAAAGACGAGUUAGAAGUAUGAACGUGUUUCAAUGUCAGUGUUGUUAUCGCUAUAGGUUACAAUGAAUGUAGGCCCUUAAAUGCCUUCAUAGAUUGGUAGUGUUAAGAAAGGUCUAGUCUUUGAACAGGGGAUUAUGUAAAGCAUGAAGGAAUAUGAAUAAUGUAUUUUUAUUAGCAAAAUUCAUAUAGAAUUUUUUAGACAAUCAUUGUAUAUUAAACCUUAGUAGAUUAGCAUUAGAAAGGUAUGUCAGUAAUGUUCAUUAUAAUAGACUCAUUUGUUUAGUCUUUCUUAAGUUACAAUGGAAUCUUUAAUGCCAGUGUUUUUCUUGCAUUGAUGAGUACAUUUCAUAUUGGGUCAUUCUGCUGUGUGUUGUCUUGUUGAAAACUUCAAAAUUCUAGUCCCGAUUUCACGAAAAAAAUUAAUUGCUUAGCUAAGUCUGUUAUUUCAAAUGCUUGUUUUUAGAAAUAUCAUAUUUGCAUGACUGAAAUAAGUACUGCAGACAAAUACUACUAACCAUAGUAAAAUUUAGCUAUAAAUAUAUUGUUAUAAAAAAAAUCAACAUUAAAUAACAGUAACUUAACCAAUUGCAUGAUUUUAAAAUAACAGACCUAGCUAAGUAAUUCCUGAAGUUUUUUCCUGAAAUUUGGGCCUGUUUAAAUACGCUGUAGGUAACUGUACAUGUUACUGUAUAAUUAUAAUAAAAAGAUAAUUUAUGAAUUCUGCAUCGAGAAAUAAGUACUCAUUCCUUUAUAUUACAUUGGGCUAAAUUGCCCGUAUUUUGUGCAUAUUUCUCAGUACAAUGAAAACCUAUAUAAUUGUUGUUAAAAUGUUGCUAUAAAAUUUUGAUAUUGACUGCUGACUGCAUAGGCAACAUUCAUGAAAAUUAUAGGCAUUUUGGAUAACAUUUGAUUCCUUUGGUUGAUGGAUUCUUGCUGUAUUAUCAGCAUAUCUGUGCAAAAUAUCAAGUUUCAUGUAACGUAUAUGCAAAUUCUUGCAAAUGAUGCCGACUACCAGAACAAAUUCAAUUUGACGAAGUAUUGUAAUACCUUUAUAUAACCUUCAAAUAUCUGUAUUCGACUGAUUAAUAUCUAUUUAUUAGUAGGGCUUUUAUAUUUUUACUUCUUUGGUGCUCAGACAUUCCUAGCUGGACUUGUGUGUGCUGUUAAAUUUCAGAUAGAUUGGUUGAAUGUCUCAAAUAAUUUUAGAUUCAGGGGCUUUUCAUAGAAGUCCUUUUAAUACUGUUCUGCUCAGUUAAUGAAUAUCACAUUGCUUUGAGUGGGACAGUAAAGUCCUUUGAAAAUCAGUGUGGUAUUUAUUUUGUUACGUAACUGAAAAAAAAUCAGGCAUUCUUAUUGCUCACAUUUUAUAAAAUUUAACUAAUAGUUCCAUGCAGUAUGAUAGAGACAUGUACAUUGUAAAUCAUGAAAAACUUGUGGCAACGUCAGUAAAACCUGUUAAUAAAAAGACACGAAAUAAGAAUGUCCGACAUUAAUUUUUUUUAUUUUGAAUUGUGAAUUAGACAUAAAAGUGACGUAUGAUAGUAUUAAGUGUAGUUAAUUAUCUUUUUGUGUUUGAAGAAAUUGUUUCACACCCCUGAUAAAUCCUAUAGAUUUUAUGAUCAUCUGAACCAGGUAAUAACCAGUGUACAUGGUUUAAUUUGAGAACUUUGCAAUAAAAGUUCAGAGUAAAUGUACAAUAUGUAUUACAGCAUAUUUUAUUGAAUCUUAUGAUAAUAUUGUUAUAUGUAAACCUUUACAAAGUAAGGGAACAAAAUAAAAUAUGAAAAUAUG